GGAUAUAGCUCAGUGAUAGAGUACCUGCCUAGCAUGUGUGUGGCCCUGGGUUCAAUUCCCAGCACCA
rnacentral:tRNA from 1 species